CGGAGUACCUGGAGAAAAACCCUCGGAGCAAGGCGAGAACCAACAACAAGCUCAACCCACAUACGGCAGCCAUCCACAAUUUAACCUGGGCUACAUUGGUGUGAAGUGAAGGCUCUCACCACUGAGCCAACUCUGCUACCCAGUUUAAGUUUGAAGUUUCCAGUUUGACAACAUAUCUGUAUUGGUCAAAAGUUAAAAUGUCAAAAUGAGACAGGAGAAUUUUAUGAUGUUACGUUAGCUUUCAUGAUUACAUUGACCAGGGAUAUAUGCAAGGCAAGAAUUGUACACUGCAUGAUGUGAAUGUGAAUUCAGCAACCAGUGUUGCGGAUCAUUUACUUAUUGCAGUGUCUUUCAUUUCUGUAGGUGUCAGCUGGAACAGUGGACAGUGCAAAACAGACAUUAGAGUCUCUUCUUAAGCAGUGUAAUGAGCCGCAAGCUGAUGAGGAACCAAAUAUAGCGUCAGUAAGGGAAAAGGUGCUGCCAACCAUCACGCAACAUCUUGUCAGGGAAAUUGUUUCACCGAACCAGACCAUCAGACAACAGGCCCAAUGUUCUGUAUCUGUACUUGCCAAGAUUUACAACUCAUCAGUUCACAGCAUCAUGCUUCCCCACAAAGCAAUUCUGGAGGACAUGAUUCCACCCAAG